GCUGGUGAAAUGUGUAGUAGUGAUUGUUUGGUAAAUUAACUUGUCAGAGAGAAAAUUAGGGUUGUAUAAACCCCUUCAUCUCGUCGGCCCUCCCUCUUAGCGUUUCUCGGACUGUCUUUAUCUCCUUCUCUUCUUCUAUAGCGUCGCCCACAACAACAAUCGUGCUAAGGGUUAGGGUUUCCAGUUCUUUACUCCGAUUCUUCCAACAAGCCUCUUUCCAAUUCUGUAAUUUUAUAGGGUUAGGGUUUUCGUUUCGGGCUUUCUCUCCGUGAGCGAUUUUCCCGACUCUUAGAAACUCCAUUUUGGCUAGUUGAAUUUCAUUAGGGAUUUGUUCCUCUCUCUGUUUCCAUCUUGUCUCUCUCCUUGGUUCUCUCAUGCCUGUUUCUAGCCAUUCUGAGCGGCCGUUGGAAGCCCGAAUCGAGGAGGCUGUAGUCGAUUUGUUUCUCUGAAGCUCGCCAAAACAGCUCAGGUUUCCCGCACAAGAUUGAUGGAGUAUUCUUGUGUGGCCAAGUAGCUCUGUAAACUUUCUGUGACCUGUUUUGUCAGACCACUUAAAGCAAUGCAUUGUUGGGAUUAUAGAUCGAGCAAGUCAUGUUCCCCCAUCCAACAUUUCAAGGGGUUUUGUAAUUGAAGUGAGUUGUCAACUUUUAGCUGCAAGCAAACUUUAGUGGCAAAGAUAUGAACGUUGCGCAAACAGAAGAUAGUUUUAUAAUGAAGCCUAUUGAUCAAAGAGAGCGCACCAGAAACCGUAAUGAUAUUCAGACAAGUCGCAUGAAGAACAGAGAACGACAGCGUAGGUAUAGGGCCCGUAAGCGUCUUGAAGCAGAUUUGAAGAAAUCUAGCAUCAUAAAGCAACCAACUACACCAGAAGUAGAAGUGCAACGAAAUGAGUUCAUUUACACACCCCGUGUGUACUGUAAACGAGAUUGGAAAAAGGAUGCAAGGAGUGCUCAUGCUUUUAAGGCCCCUGAAUUUACCCAUAAUGGUUAUGCCAUCCCUACUCUUACGUCAAUCAGUGAGGGUCAAAGCGUGUUUUUGUCUGGACCCAUGGCAGAGCUACAAUUAGAUAGUGAAUCCCGGUCUGAGAUGAUUGUGAACCAGAAUAACUGCGAAAUGCAUGUAUCUAACUUUGGUCGAAGAGAUUGGAAAGCUGAUGCAAGAAAGAAGAAAAUCUAAGGCAGAUGGCCGAGGAGUCCUAACUAUUCCAUUUGUAUGGUAUGGUACUUUAUGGGUUUCAUGUCUGAAUUUUCAAGUUAUGCUCUUACUGGUGUAUAAGGGACGAGGAAACAGGAAGCGCAGAGUCUAAGUUGAUUAUUGGGUUAAAUAUUCGGAAGCCUAGGAAUGACAGAAACAAUCUCGAACCUUGUUACCUAUUGAGUUAGAAAACCAGGUAAGUGGUCAAACUCAUUAUAAUGUAUGAUAACUGUUAAUGAAUCAUAUAGAGAAUUUGACCAGAUGUUUCAUCUGUGAGGAUUGAUGGGAUUUCAA